GUGGGGAAUAUUGCACAAUGGGCGAAAGCCUGAUGCAGCGACGCCGCGUGAGCGAUGAAGUAUUUCGGUACGUAAAGCUCUAUCAGCAAGGAAGAAAAUGACGGUACUUGACUAAGAAGCCCCGGCUAACUACGUGCCAGCAGCCGCGGUAAUACGUAGGGGGCAAGCGUUAUCCGGAUUUACUGGGUGUAAAGGGAGCGUAGACGGUAUGGUAAGUCAGAUGUGAAAGCCCGGGGCUCAACCCCGGGACUGCAUUUGAAACUAUCAGACUAGAGUGCAGGAGAGGUAAGUGGAAUUCCUAGUGUAGCGGUGAAAUGCGUAGAUAUUAGGAGGAACACCAGUGGCGAAGGCGGCUUACUGGACUGUAACUGACGUUGAGGCUCGAAAGCGUGGGGAGCAAACAGGAUUAGAAACCCUGGUAGUCC
rnacentral:rRNA from 1 species